rnacentral:rRNA from 1 species
GACGAACGCUGGCGGCGUGCUUAACACAUGCAAGUCGAACGGAAAGGCCCUGCUUUUGUGGGGUGCUCGAGUGGCGAACGGGUGAGUAACACGUGAGUAACCUGCCCUUGACUUUGGGAUAACUUCAGGAAACUGGGGCUAAUACCGGAUAGGAGCUCCUGCUGCAUGGUGUGGGUUGGAAAGUUUCGGCGGUUGGGGAUGGACUCGCGGCUUAUCAGCUUGUUGGUGGGGUAGUGGCUUACCAAGGCUUUGACGGGUAGCCGGCCUGAGAGGGUGACCGGCCACAUUGGGACUGAGAUACGGCCCAGACUCCUACGGGAGGCAGCAGUGGGGAAUAUUGCACAAUGGGCGGAAGCCUGAUGUAGCAACGCCGCGUGCGGGAUGACGGCCUUCGGGUUGUAAACCGCUUUCGCCUGUGACGAAGCGUGAGUGACGGUAAUGGGUAAAGAAGCACCGGCUAACUACGUG